GAUGAACGCUGGCGGCGUGCUUAACACAUGCAAGUCGAACGGAAAGGCCCAAGCUUGCUUGGGUACUCGAGUGGCGAACGGGUGAGUAACACGUGGGUGAUCUGCCCUGCACUUCGGGAUAAGCCUGGGAAACUGGGUCUAAUACUGGAUAGGACCACUUCUUGGAUGUUGUGGUGGAAAGUUUUUUCGGUGUGGGAUGAGCUCGCGGCCUAUCAGCUUGUUGGUGGGGUAAUGGCCUACCAAGGCGUCGACGGGUAGCCGGCCUGAGAGGGUGUACGGCCACAUUGGGGCUGAGAUACGGCCCAGACUCCUACGGGGGGCAGCAGUGGGGAAUAUUGCACAAUGGGCGCAAGCCUGAUGCAGCGACGCCGCGUGGGGGAUGACGGCCUUCGGGUUGUAAACUCCUUUCGCUAGGGACGAAGCGUUUUGUGACGGUACCUGGAGAAGAAGCACCGGCUAACUACGUG
rnacentral:rRNA from 1 species